rnacentral:tRNA from 1 species
GGGGCCGCCUCUGGUGAGAGUCCCGGUCUUGUCAAAUCGGAAGGCGCGGGGUCGAUUCCCGCCGGCUCCA